rnacentral:rRNA from 1 species
GAACUGAAGAGUUUGAUCAUGGCUCAGAUUGAACGCUGGCGGCAGGCCUAACACAUGCAAGUCGAGCGGAUGAAGGGAGCUUGCUCCUGGAUUCAGCGGCGGACGGGUGAGUAAUGCCUAGGAAUCUGCCUGAUAGUGGGGGAUAACGUCCGGAAACGGGCGCUAAUACCGCAUACGUCCUGAGGGAGAAAGUGGGGGAUCUUCGGACCUCACGCUAUCAGAUGAGCCUAGGUCGGAUUAGCUAGUUGGUGGGGUAAAGGCCUACCAAGGCGACGAUCCGUAACUGGUCUGAGAGGAUGAUCAGUCACACUGGAACUGA